AUUGACAAUUUUGGCGAAGCUAAUUAUUCUCUUCCUCCGUGUUGUCUGAUAUCAGUAUAUGGAUCACCUGGUGCUGUACCAUCACUACAUUACUCUGUACCACUGGAUGGAGUGGCUGAUCCUAAGACAUUAUUCAUUCACCGAUCACUCAGAGCUGCUCCUCCUUCAACAAAUCCUACUACCACCACCUCCUCCUCUAAUGUAGUGCAUGAAUCAACAUCAGUACCAAGAGCUAGUACAUUUAGAUCUGAUAUUGGUCUUACAGUAAUGACAGAAUGUACUGGAAUGAUAAAGGAAAUUCUUGAUCUAAAUACAUUAGUAGAUAAGCUACGUGAGAAGAGAAUAAUAAAUGAAAGACAAAAGAAUCAAAUUACUGAUACACACUGUGGAUUGACUGCUGAUCAAAGAAUGGACAAGCUACUUAGUUUAGUUAGAGCAUCCAUUCAAGUGAAUGGCCAAGUAUUUCGUUUGUUUAUAGAAAUAAUUAAACAAGAGGAUACAUUAAUAACUGAUAGUCUAGCACAAACACUAUUGGACAAUUAUGAAAGAUUAUUAUAAUAAUA